rnacentral:lncRNA from 1 species
UGGUUGUUUGGCAAUUUUGCUUUGGUCAUCAGACAUCACGGAUUGUUUACAUGUUUUCCGUGCUUUUAAAUAUGGAACUGUUGGCAACAGAUGAGGCAGAGCUUCCAAGAAAGUUCCUGGGCAUUCUAGUUCCUGUGUAGAGGCAGAGAUGACUAAGUGGCUACAUUUCCAGCAAACAUGGCAAGAAAUCCUUCCAAAAAUAGGGUUAAACUACUUUAUUUUCUUUCUUAUUUUUCAGUCCUUCGUUCUCUUCUUGUUUAAGCUCACUAGAAGUCGCAAACUCAAUUUACCUCCAUCCCCCCCAAAGCUGCCUGUAAUCGGCAACAUUCACCAUUUGGGCACACUGCCACAUCGUUCUUUACAAGCUCUCUCGAAAAAAUAUGGCCCUUUAAUGCUUUUGCACAUGGGGCAUGUUCCGACUCUCAUCGUUUCAUCUGCCGAGGCAGCUAGUGAAAUUAUGAAGACCCAUGAUAUUGUUUUCGCAAACCGACCCCAAACCACAGCUGCAAGCAUCUUUUUUCAUGGUUGUGUAGAUGUUGCUUUUGCUCCUUUUGGUGAGUACUGGAGAAAAGUUAGGAAGAUUACUGUUCAAGAACUUUUGGGCCCGAAAACGGUGCAUUCAUUUCACUACAUAAGAGAAGAAGAAGCUGCAGGCUUGAUUGAUAAAAUUCGUUUUGCUUGUCAUAGUGGGACUUCUGUUAAUCUAAGUGAGAUGCUGAUCUCUGUCUCAAGCGAUAUCGUUUCCAGAUGUGUUUUUGGUCGGAAGGCUGACAAGGAAGGCGGCAACAGCAAGUUCGGAGAGUUGACGAGGACAGUUAUGGUUCAAUUGACAGCUUUUAGUUUUGGGGAUUUAUUCCCUUACUUGGGAUGGAUGGACACUCUCACAGGCUUGAUUCCACGGUUGAAAGCAACUUCGAGGGCAUUAGAUUCCUUUAUUGAUCAGGUGAUUGAAGAGCAUAGGAGUUUGGAAAGUGAUGGUGACAGCUGUGCUCAGACUGAUUUUCUGCAAGCUCUCCUCCAACUUCAGAAGAACGGCGAGCUUGACGUGCAGCUCACACGAGACAACAUCAUAGCAGUUGUUUUGGUAUCUCUCACUACCUCUCAUAGCAAAAUUCAGAUUCCAUGUCUUUGCUGUUUUCGUUUUCUAAAUUUCCUUGAGCAUCAACCUUUUCAUUUUGAAAAAUCUCAGGACAUGUUUGCGGGAGGAACUGAUACAAGCUCAACAAUGAUGGAAUGGGCGAUUGCUGAGCUUGUCAGGAAUCAAACUAUCAUGAGGAAAGCCCAAGAAGAGGUCAGGAGAAUAGUAGGGAAGAAAUCGAAGGUAGAAGCAAGUGAUAUAGAAGAGAUGGCAUAUUUGAAAUGCAUCCUCAAAGAGACUCUCAGGCUUCAUCCCUCUGGCCCUCUGCUGGUUCCUAGAGAAACAUCAUCAAGUUUUGAAUUGGGAGGCUACUACAUUCCUCCCAAGACAAGAGUUAUUGUGAACGCAUUUGCCAUUCAAAGGGACCCUAACUUCUGGGACAGGCCUGAUGAGUUUCUCCCAGAAAGGUUUGAAAACAACCCAGUUGAUUUCAAAGGCCAGCACUUUCAAUUCAUCCCAUUUGGUAGCGGGAGAAGGAGUUGCCCUGGGGCCCUAUUUGGAGUCACUUCAGUUGAAUUUGUGAUUGCCAAUCUCCUAUAUUGGUUCGACUGGAGGUUGCCUGAUGGCGCAUCUGAAGAGGAAUUGGACAUGAGUGAGAUCUGUGGAAUGACUGCUUACAAGAAGAUCCCUCUUCUUCUUGUACCUUCAUUCUACUCGCCCUGAGCAAUCCGAAGAUCAUGCUUUUCCUGUCACGGCUUAAAGAAGCUCUGGUUCUCAUCUUCCUAAAUUAUAAAUAAAAAGAAGAGAAAUCAACCCUUUAUGUAAGUCGAAAGUUAAAACAAUGAAUAAGUAAACCUCUCCUUGGUUUCUUGCUGUUGCUGGCCGUGUGAAACAAUUACUAAACUAUUUGCAGAAAUGGCUAUACUUUUCUUUUCUUUUCCUAACAAUUACUAACAAGAUUUACACAUAGCAAAGCGCUCCAAUUCUUUUCUUUUCCUUCUUCUUUCCCUGUGCUUUCUACUUCUCAUGUACAGGAUUUUUAAAAUUCAGAAGCUCAAACUUACCUCCCUCCCUACAGAAGCUGCCUGUAAUUUGCAACUUUCACCAACCAGGCUAACUCCCCCCCAUCUUUCUCUCCAAGCUUUCUUGAAAAAAAGUAUGGCCAUUUGCUCUUGCAUCUGGAGCAUGCUCCGACUCUAGUGGUUUUCUCUGCGGGGAUGGCUAGAGAAAUGAUUAGGAAGCAUGAUGUUUGUUUCUCAAACCGACCCAAAACAAAAGCUGAGACCAAUACUGUUUUGAUCAGGGAAAAAAAAGGGCUCGUACUGUGUGCGAGGCAGUUAAAAGGGUGAUUGGAAAUGUAGAAAUAAUUGUUGGAAGUUAAGCUGAUUACUUAUUGUUUGAAGCUGCAGAAGUGAAUCCUGUGGUGAUAACGAGAAGAAUGAAGAAUGGACGAAGAAUGAGUUAACAGAAGAAGAGUCAGUUACAAACAGUUACAAAAUUCAAAAAACCGUUAAAACUGUUAUAACUGUUUUCUGUUACAAACCGUUGCUUACAGUUACAGAAUCAUAGCCCUCAAUCAAUGAAUGGUUGAGAUGAAUUGAUUCCUAAGUCUAGAUUCUGUUAUUGAUUACAUACAAAAACAUGUAUAAAAGUAAAGUCCUGCACUAAUGGAGAAAAAAAAAAAUACAAAACUUCUUCAUAAUCUUCUCUGCACAUUUAAAGCUUUCUUCUUUCUUCUUUCUUCUUCUUCUCUAACAAAACACGAGAAAAUCAACAUGGUAUCAGAGCACUCAAACUGAUUCCUGAGAGGGGCGUAGACUGUGAAAAAGAGAUUGAUUAAACUGUUAAUUACUCAAAAAUGGUAGGAUCAAGCUCAGCUGGAGGAGACUUAAGAACUCCACAGUUCAAUGGCACGAAUUAUGAUUUUUGGGCUGUAAAAAUGGAAACUGUCCUCAUAGCACUCGAUCUAUGGGAAGUAGUAGAAGAUGGAAUAAAAUCUCAUCAAGCACCUGAGAUUGCAGGUGGAUCAGGCGAUGAAGAGAGUGAAGCUGAUCAAAUUAUACUGCAUGCAUCCACGACAUCCAAAGAAGAAAAAAUCAAGAAUGCAAAGGCUUUAAGCCUCAUACAAGGAGCAUUAACAGAUGAUCUUUUCCCACGUAUAAGAAAUGAGAAAACUGCAAAAGGAGCAUGGGACAUCUUGAGCAGAGAAUUCAGAGGAGAUAAAAAGGUUAGAGCAGUGAAACUUCAAGGAGUAAGAGCAGACUUUGAAUAUUUGAGAAUGUCAGAAAGUGAAAGCUUAGAUGGUUAUCUAGCUAAAUUCUUUGCAACUAUAAACAACCUAAAAUCAUUAGGUGAAGAUGUAUCAGAAAACAGAAUUGUGCAUAAAUUGUUAAUGAGUCUAAGCAGAAGAUAUAAGUCCAUUGUGUCAAUCAUUGAAGAGACACGUGAUCUUGAAGUUCUAAGAGCAGAAGAAGUCAUUGCUUCUGUUAAGGUAUAUGAUAAGAGGGAGGAUCUGCAUGAUGAAAGGGAUAAGCUAAGAGGAACAGAAAAAGCCUUUAGCAGUUUUAAAAUUGGAAACAAUCAAGGUUACAAUUCUCACAAGAGUUUCCAAGGCAGACCUACUCAAAAAUGGCAACCACAAGACAGGAGGGGAUCAAACUGGAAUCCAAACAGAACUCUGAAUAGCUACAACAAUUCAAACUGGAAUAACACUGGUGGAGGGAGCAGUCAAGCAGGAGAAAAACCACAGUGUCAAGUCUGUCAAAAACAUCAUUUUGGAUUGUGCAGGCACAAAGGAAAACCAAGAUGUGGAAGAUGCAAUCGGUUUGGCCAUAUUACAAAAGAUUGUGAAAGUCAGAAUCACAAACAACUUGCAAAUUAUGCUAAAGAAAAAGGAGUCAUCACUGGAACCAUGUUCUAUGCUUGCCAUGCUGCAAGUUUGCAAGACAAAAAGAUAUGGUUUGUGGAUAGUGCCUGCAGCAAUCACAUGACUUCUCAAGAAUCUGAACUAAUCAACAUUGAUAGAUCAGUAACAUGCAAAGUGAAGAUGGGCUCAGGAGACCUUGUGCAAGCUACUGGAAAAGGUACAUUGGUUGUGGAAACUCAGCAUGGGAAAGAUACAUAAAAGAAGUAUUGCUUGUUCCCGGAUUGGAUGAAAACUUACUAAGUGUAGGCCAGAUGAUGGAGCAUGGCUAUUACAUUCUGUUUGGAGGUAACAAGGCAGUAAUAUUUGAUGAUGAAAGCCUCAACAAUGUUAUAGCAAUAGUAAUCAUGGGAGGAAAUCGAUGCUUUCCACUUUCACUUGAGAGUAUUACACCUGCAGCAAGGAAAGCUUCAGUGACUGAGGAUUCCUGGAUAUGGCAUAGGAGACUUGGACACUUGAACUUUGCCAGCAUGAAGAAGAUGCAGCAGAAAGAGAUGGUGUGUGGACUUCCUUCUGACUGAAGUAGAAGAUGUUUGUGCAGGUUGUGCAUCAGGCAAACAUCACAGGGAGAAAUUCAUCAAAGAGCAAGUGUGGAGAGCAAGCAAUCCACUGGAAUUGAUCCACACUGAUCUGUGUGGACCAAUGCAGAAUGAUUCUGUGGAGGGAACAGAUACUUCAUCACAUUCAUUGAUGAUUACUCAAGAAUGUGCUGGGUAUACUUUCUCAGAAAUAAAUCUGGUGCACUGAAUGUAUUCAAAAAAUUCAAAGCAUUCGUUGAGCUGCAAAGUGGACACAAACUGAAGAAGCUAAGAAGUGACAGAGGAGGAGAAUAUACUUCCAAAGAAUUUGAAGAAUUCUGUGAGAAGCAAGGAAUGGAGAGGCAAUUGACAGUUGCAUACUCCCUCAACAGAAUGGAGUUGCAGAAAGGAGAAACAGAACAAUUUGUGAGAUGGGGAGAUCCAUGCUGAUAGAGAAAGGAAUGCCAGUAACCUUCUGGGCAGAAGCUGUUAAUACAGCUGUGUAUAUACAGAACAGAUGUUAUACAACAUCUGUUGCAGAAAAGACUCCUUUUGAAGCCUUCACGGGAAGGAAGCCAGGAGUCAAGCAUUUGAAGGUGUUUGGUUGCUUGUGUUACACACAUAUCCCAUCAUCACUAAGGCAGAAAUGGGAUAGCAAAGCUGGAAAGGGAGUGUUUGUUGGAUAUGGCAGCUGUGAAAAAGGGUAUAGGAUAUAUGAUCUGAAAACUGAGAAGAUUGUUCUCUCAAGAAGUGUGAUUUUCAGUGAAGAUAAAGCAUGGAAUUGGAAGGGAAAUCUGAUGAACCAAAUCCACUUGUCCUUCAAUCAUGAAGGAGGUAUAAUUGAAGGUGAGAAUCUUGAGGAACACACUUCUGAAAUUCAACCCGACAAUGUUGAACAUUGCAAUCAAAAUCCUAUAGUUGAAGAGUCAGCUGAGAAGAUUGACAGUGUUAACAGUCAACAAUCUUCACCAAGCUCUACUCCAGUGAAAUUGAAAACCUUGGAAGACAUAUAUGCAAGGUGUCACAUGUGCAUCAUAGAACCUGAGAAUUAUCAAGAAGCUGCUGGGGAUAAAGCCUGGCAGGAGGCUAUGAAGGAAGAGUUGAAAGUGAUAGAGAAGAACAAUACUUGGGAACUGGUGGAAAGACCAAGUGAUAAACCUGUGAUAGGAGUGAAAUGGGUGUACAAAACCAAGCUUCAUCUUGAUGGAUCAGUUCAGAAACACAAGGCUCGACUUGUAGCAAAGGGUUAUGCACAGAAAUCUGGAAUUGAUUACAAUGAAACCUUUGCACCAGUAGCAAGGUUAGACACAAUUCGAACUCUCAUUGCACUUGCAGCACAGAAGGGGUGGAAGUUGUUUCAAUUGGAUGUCAAGUCAGCAUUCCUAAAUGGUGUACUUGAAGAAGAGGUAUAUGUUGAGCAGCCUGAAGGUUUUCUUGUAGAGAAAGCAGGACACAAAGUUUACAGACUGAGGAAGGCAUUAUAUGGCUUAAAACAGGCACCGAGGGCCUGGUAUAGUGAAAUUGAUGCAUAUCUCUCUAUGUGCAAAUUCAAGAGGAGCACAAGUGAGGCUACCUUGUAUACAAAGUCUGAUCAAGAAGGUAACUUAAUCAUUGUUUCAAUCUAUGUUGAUGAUAUAGUAUAUACUGGCAGCAGUGAAAGAAUGCUUAGUGAGUUCAAAAGGGAAAUGAUGCAGAGAUAUGAGAUGUCUGAUCUUGGACUUCUUCAUCAUUUUCUGGGCAUGGGAAUACUACAAUCUGAGCAAAGAGUAUUCAUCCAUCAAAGCAAGUAUGCAAAGUCUUUGUUUAAGAAGUUUGGGCUUGAGGACUGUAAACCAGUUUCUACUCCCUUGGUCACUGGUGAGAAAUUGAAGAAGGUGGAUGGGAGUGAGUUGGCUGAUGAAGGCCUUUAUAGAAAAAUAGUAGGAAGCUUACUAUAUCUGACAACAACAAGACCUGAUUUAAUGUAUGCUGCAAGCUUACUGUCACGGUUCAUGACUGGACCUACCAAAAUUCACAUGGGAGCUGCAAAGAGAGUCCUAAGAUAUGUGCAAGGAACUCUAAGCUAUGGGAUUGAGUACGUAAGGGAUCAAUCAGCAACUCUUGUUGGAUUUUGUGAUGCAGAUUGGGCAGGAAGUGAAGAUGAUAGCAGGAGCACCUCUGGUUAUGCAUUCAGUUUUGGAAGUGGAGCAUUUUCCUGGGCUUCGGUUAAACAGAAUCCAGUGGCAUUAUCAAAUGCAGAAGCUGAGUAUGUCUCAGCAUCUGAAGCAACAACUCAGGCAAUUUGGUUAAGAUUUAUUCUUGAUGACUUUGGUGAAAUGCAAGCAGAAGCAACAACCUUGUUCUGUGACAACAUGUCAGCAAUUUCAAUGGCUAAAAAUCUUAUUUUUCAUCAAAGAACUAGACACAUAAACAGGAAGUAUCAUUUCAUAAGAGAGGCUCUGCAAGAAGGAGUGAUAAAUAUGAAAUUCUGCAGAAGUGAAGAGCAGCUGGCUGACAUUUUCACAAAGGCAUUACCCAAAGACAGAUUCAAGCAAUUAAGAUCGAAUCUUGGAGUUAAACCAGUAAGCAGCUUAGGAGAGGCUGUUGGAAGUUAAGCUGAUUACUCAUUGUUUGAAGCUGCAGAAGUGAAUCCUGUGGUGAUAACGAGAAGAAUGAAGAAUGGACGAAGAAUGAGUUAACAGAAGAAUAGUCAGUUACAAACAGUUACAAAAUUCAAAAAAUUAUUAAAAUUGUUAUAACUGUUUUCUGUUACAAAUCGUUGCUUACAGUUACAGAAUCAUAGCCCUCAAUCAAUGAAUGGUUGAGAUGAAUUGAUUCCUAAGUCUAGAUUCUGUUAUUGAUUACAUACAAAAACGUGUAUAAAAGUAAAGUCCUGCACUAAUGGAGAAAAAAAAAUAUACAGAACUUCUUCAUAAUCUUCUCUGCACAUUUAAAGCUUUCUUCUUUCUUCUUUCUUCUUCUUCUCUAACAAAACACGCGAGAAAAUCAACAAUAAUUGUUUGUUCAACUAGUGUACUUAUCUAGAGGGGAUUUUUAAUUUUUUAUUCAAUAUUGAAGAAUAUUUUUGGACUAAUUUCCAUGUCAGUUGAAACUAAAUUUCUUUUUCCGAUAAUGUUAAAAGUGUAUAUCAUUUUCAUCGAUUUCAUGCAUUAAAAAAAAUAUAUAAUAACUGGUACUGAAUGUAUCUUCUUUGAGAGCCAGGGUUAGGGGAUGAGGGAUUUCAUGCUUUGAGGAUGAUUUGGGCACAAUAUGGGGAUUUCUCAAAGCAGCUAUAAAUUUAAUGCAGAUAACAAAUAAUACAAGAACCCGAGCAUCUCGAUUUGUCUUUGUUUCAUUGUCUAAAACCUAACUCAUUUCGAACUCUUCUAUCUCUAUAUUUCAUGCACCGGUGCUUUGUACAUAACACAAAUUGCAUCUAAAGACUUAGACAAAUUCCUGGAUAUGCAACUUGAUCUUCGACAAGUGUCGAUCUGAUUCUCCUUUAUGGGGUAAUAAUACUCAUCUAUUCUCGUUUAUCCUCCUCAAGAUCUUCGACAAGUGCAUUCCUUUCCAGCUUAUUAGCAAUAUCACCGGUUGUCAAUGAUAUACCCUCCUCGUCGAGGUCCUCCCCCUCUGAAUACGCAUAUCUACAGGAGCAAGCCCGAUUAGCAGCAUCAUGUUAGAUAUCUAUUUAUUUAUGAGAAGCAGCAUGUUAAUAUGAUUAGAUUUUACUAUUUCAGUUCAAAUUGUUAAUUAUUGGAGACAAGCAAGCCCCACCAUGUGCUAGUGGGAAUAAUCUCCCACUUAGCACAUGGUGGAGGACCCUCCUCACUCCCAUUAAUUGUGUAUUUGUGUGCCCCCUCCCUGUGAAGAGUGUGUGCGAGUAUCGUGAGAAUACAGAGAAGAAGAACAGACGAGUUGCAGAGUGUGAAACACAGAGAGAAGAGAGAACAGAGAUGAAUAGAGAGAGCUUGAGAGUAGAGUUGAGAUGAGAAGAGUAAUCUCCUCCUCCUUGUUUUUUAUUGGUUCCUUGAGUAAUUAAUACAAUCAGUAGCUCCGUGGAGUAGGCAAUUUGCCGAACCACGUAAAUGAUGUGUGUUUGAGUUCUCGAAAUAACCCAACAACUGGUAUCAGAGCUUGUUCUUGACAAAGAGGGUGUUUGAUCCAAACUCAAAAAUCAAAGUUCUCAAAACGUGUUUUUGAACAUACCAUAGUGUAGAGGACAACCGGACGAAUCCACUGUUUAAACCCCGGCGAAGAACCGACAUCCUGCAUGCCUGCAUGCCUGCAUGCCCGCACGCGCCGACGUCCAGACUGCCCACGCGCAACAACGCGCCAUACGCGCGCCACGCUCCUUCUUCGCCCGGCUUCUGCAAAACGGGUCGGGUUUGACCCGCCACGUCAUCAAUCCGUGCAGUCAACACCUGACACGUCAUCAUAAUGAGUUUUAUUCCAGUGUGCCGCAGGCCCUGAUCUGCUGACACGUGGCUCCAUCUGCACCGCUACUGAGUUUUGAUCCGGUGUGACGCAGGCUCUAAUCUGCUGACACGUGGCCUAAUCUGCACCGUUACUGAGUUUCGAUCUGGUGCGACGCAGGCUCUAAUCUGCUGACACGUGGCUUAAUCUGCACCGUUACUGAGUUUUGAUUUGGUGUGACGCAGGCUCUAAUCUGCUGACACGUGUCUUCAUCAUAACAGCUACUGAGUUUUUUAUCCGGUGCAACGCAGGCGGUACUCUGGCUGACACGCGGCUGCAUCUGAACCGUCCGUUAAUCCAAAACUUUGAUUGCUAAAAUCUGAGCCAUCCGAAGUCCGAUUGGGGUGAUCUCAGUGUCAUUUCCAAGGUUUUUGGCCGUUUGGACACAUCUGUAAGGUCAGAUUUGGGAAAUUCGAAUCGGAGAAGUAGUAAAAAUGGCAGAUGAAAUAAAGGCUGCUGGAAUUGAAAAAUUUGACGGAACAGAUUUUGGAUACUGGAAAAUGCAAAUUGAAGAUUAUUUAUAUGGGAAGAAACUUCAUCUUCCCUUAUUGGGAAGCAAACCAGAAAAGAUGGAAGAAGAAGAAUGGCAACUUCUUGAUAGACAAGUUCUGGGCAUUAUCCGGCUAUCGUUAUCAAGAAGAGUUGCUCACAAUGUUACGAAAGAAAAAUCCACUGCAAAAUUGAUGGAAGCCUUGUCUGGGAUGUAUGAGAAGCCAUCAGCAAAUAAUAAAGUGCACCUGAUGAAAAAGUUGUUCAACUUGAAGAUGGUCGAAAACACUUCUGUGACACAACACCUCAACAACUUUAAUACCAUCACAAAUCAAUUAUCAUCUGUUGCGAUUGAGUUUGAUGAUGAGAUUCGUGCACUCAUCUUGCUAGCUUCACUUCCAAGCAGUUGGGAAGGCAUGAGGACAGCCGUGAGCAAUUCAGCUGGAAAAUCCAAACUGAAGUAUGAUGACAUUCGAGACUUGAUUUUGGCUGAAGAAGUGCGAAGGAAAGACUCGGGUGAAAGUUCAAGCUCAGGAUCAGCUCUCAACAUCAACACUCGAGGGAGGACACGAUAGAGGCUCAUCCAGAGGCAGAUCAAAAUCCAGAUACAGAAGUAAAAGCAAGUUUGGAUCCAGAAAGCAGGUUGAAUGUUGGAAUUGUGGCAAACCUGGUCAUUUCAGUAGGAAUUGCACAAAACCGAAGAAACCUGAAGCUGACUCUGCAAACGCUACCACAGAUGAGGUACAAGAUGCUUUAAUUCUUGCUGUACAUAGUCAAAUUGAUGAGUGGAUUCUUGAUUCUGGUGCUUCAUUCCACUGUACGCCACACAAUGAAAUGCUGCAAAAUUAUGUUGGAGGAGAUCACGGUGUAGUCUAUCUGGCCGAUGGAACACCACUGAAUAUUGUGGGUAUAGGAGAUGUGCAAAUCAAGACAAUGAAUGGAUCUAUAUGGACCUUGCAGAAUGUAAGGCAUGUUCCUGAAUUAAAGAAGAAGUUGAUCUCUGUCGGACAACUUGAUGAUAGUGGUCAUUCAAUACUUUUUGCUGGAGGAAUGUGGAAAGUAUCAAAGGGAGCAAUGGUUUUAGCUCGUGGAAAGAAAACCGGCACCCUGUAUAUGACCACAAGAUUUGCAGACAUCAUUGCCUCAACUGAAGCAGAAAAUCAAGCACAGCUAUGGCAUUGUAGACUUGGCCAUAUGAGUCAAAAGGGGAUGAAGAUACUUCAGUCGAAGGGAAAGCUGCCAGAGUUAAAAAAUGUCGAUCUAGACAUUUGUGAAAGCUGUGUUCUUGGAAAACAGAAGAAGGUCAGUUUCUUGAAGGUUGGCAGGACCUUACGACCAAGAAAGCUAGAACUGGUACACACAGAUUUAUGGGGACCGUCUCCAGUAGCAUCUCUUGGAGGUUCUCGGUAUUAUGUGACUUUCAUUGAUGACUUCAGCAGGAAGGUAUGGGUCUACUUUCUGAAAAAUAAAUCUGAUGUGUUUGAAACAUUCAAGAAAUGGAAGGCUAUGGUUGAGACUGAAUCAGGUCUAAAGUUGAAAUGCUUGAGAUCUGAUAAUGGAGGAGAAUACAUUGAUGGAGGUUUCAAGGAGUAUUGUGCUGUCAAUGGUAUCAGAAUGGAAAAGACCGUUCCAGGCACACCGCAACAGAAUGGCGUUGCUGAACGGAUGAACAGGACCAUCAAUGAACGAGCUAGAAGCAUGAGGUUGCAUUCUGGGUUACCUCAAACAUUCUGGGCUGACGCAGUUCAUACCGCAGUUUACUUGAUCAACCGUGGACCAUCAGUUCCUUUGGAAUUCAGAUUGCCCGAGGAAGUAUGGAGAGGAAAAGAGGUACGACUCUCUCAUUUGAAGGUCUUUGGGUGUGUUUCCUAUGUUCACAUAGAUUCUGAUGCUCGCAACAAGUUAGAAGCCAAAUCCAAGAAAUGUUUCUUCAUUGGCUAUGGAGAUGAAGAAUUUGGAUUUCGGUUCUGGGAUGAUCAGAAUAGAAAGAUUAUCAGAAGCAGGAACGUGAUCUUCAAUGAGAAAGUUAUGUACAAAGACAGAUCAAGUGAAGAAACCGAGAUGGUUAAUUCAGAUACAAGUCCAAAAGAUCUGAAUUCAUAAGAUUAGAAGGGCUUCCCGAUGUUACUAAGCAGAACAACAAUCAAGAGUCUUUACAAGAAGAUUCAAGCACAUCUGUGCCCACUUCCACACAAGAAGAUGCGGAGCAACUUGAACCAGCUGUUCGCAGGUCUUCGAGGACGAUAAAGCCCCCGCAACGGUUCACACUUUUACUGAAUUAUAUUUUGCUGACAGAUGGUGGUGAACCGUUAUCUUAUGAAGAAUCCUUACAAGAUGGAAACUCAAGCAAGUGGGAGUUAGCCAUGAAGGAUGAGAUGAGUUCGUUGUUGAAGAACAAGACUUGGGAGCUAACAACAUUACCUGAAGGAAAGAAGGCCUUGCAAAAUAAGUGGGUUUACAGAGUGAAGACUGAGCAUGACGGAAGCAAACGGUUCAAGGCAAGACUUGUUGUCAAAGGGUUUCAACAAAAGAAAGGCAUUGACUACUCUGAGAUUUUUUCUCCAGUUGUGAAGCUCACAACAAUCAGAGUUGUUCUGGGGAUAGUAGCUGCAGAAAAUUUACAUCUUGAACAGUUAGAUGUAAAAACAGCAUUCCUUCAUGGUGACUUGGAGGAAGAUAUUUACAUGCAAACCAGAGGGGUUUGCAAUGCAAGGAAAGGAGAAUCAAGUCUGCAAGCUACAGAAAAGCCUAUACGGUUUGAAGCAAGCUCCAAGACAGUGGUACAAGAAGUUUGACAACUUCAUGUGCAGUUCCGGGUAUACAAGAUGCCAAGCUGAUCAUUGUUGCUAUGUCAAACAUUUUGACAACUCCUACAUCAUUCUACUAUUAUAUGUAGAUGAUAUGUUGAUUGCAGGAUCCAGCAUUGAGGAGAUUGAUAAGCUGAAACAGCAGUUGUCGAAACAGUUUGAAAUGAAGGAUCUGGGAGCUGCUAAACAAAUACUUGGCAUGAGAAUCAUCAGAGAUAAAGACAAAGGCAUACUAAAGCUCUCACAAACAGAGUAUGUCAAGAAGGUUCUCAGCAGGUUUAGUAUGGAUAAUGCUAAACCAGUAAGUACACCACUGGGGAAUCAUUUCAAGCUCAGCAAAGAUCAGUCACCAAAAACUGAGCUAGAAAGUGGAUACAUGGAUAAGAUUCCAUACGCCUCAGCUAUCGGCUCUUUGAUGUAUGCUAUGGUCUGUACCAGACCAGACAUUGCCCAUGCAGUGGGAGUUGUAAGCCGAUAUAUGAGCAAUCCUGGAAAGCAGCAUUGGGAGGCGGUGAAAUGGAUCAUGAGGUACUUAAAAGGUUCAUCGGAAACUUGUCUCAGUUUCACAGCUGGUGGUUUGAAACUUGAAGGUUUUGUAGAUGCUGAUCUAGCAGGAGAUGUUGAUAGCAGAAAGAGCACUACAGGAUAUGUUUAUACUCUAGGAGGUACUGCUGUUUCCUGGAGUUCUACCUUGCAAAAGAUCGUUGCUCUUUCAACAACAGAAGCUGAAUAUGUUGCAGUCUCAGAAUCUGCAAAAGAGAUAGUAUGGUUGCAGAGUUUCUUGAAAGAAUUGGGCAAGUUGAAUGGAAAAGGUACUUUGUAUAGCGACAGUCAGAGUGCAAUCUUCCUUGCCAAGAAUCCAGCAUUUCACUCCAGGACGAAGCAUAUUCAGAUCAAAUAUCACUUCAUCCGACAACUGCUGGACGACGAGCAACUAAUGCUAGAAAAGGUCUGUGGAAGCAAGAAUCCAGCUGACAUGUUAACCAAAGGAGUUACACUUGAGAAACUGAAGUUGUGCAAAACUUCAGUUGGUCUUCAAGGAUAAAAGAUAAUUUCAUUGUUUGUCUCCAAGUGGGAGAUUGUUAAUUAUUCGAGACAAGCAAGCCCUACCAUGUGCUAGUGGGAAUAAUCUCCCACUUAGCACAUGGUGGAGGACCCUCCUCACUCCCAUUAAUUGUGUAUUUAUAUGCCCCCUCCCUGUGAAGAGUGUGUGCGAGUAUCGUGAGAAUACAGAGAAGAAGAACAGACGAGUUACAGAGUGUGAAACACAGAGAGAAGAGAGAACAGAGACGAAUAGAGAGAGCUUGAGAGUAUAGUUGAGUUGAGAAGAGUAAUCUCCUCCUCCUUGUUUUGUAUUGGUUCCUUGAGUAAUUAAUACAAUCAGUAGCUCCGUGGAGUAGGCAAUUUACCGAACCACGUAAAUGAUGUAUGUUUGAGUUUUGGAAAUAACCCAACACAAAUGACACAAAUACAGGCAAUGCGUAACAGUAAACAUCCUUGUAAAUAAUCCAAGAAAGGAAAAAAAAAAUGCUUGCUGGUAAUUUAUUUAUUUAUUCUUUGGAGGGCGCAUAGGAUUUCUGCUAUUUUGAUUUCUAUAACACAGAAUUAUCAACAUAUUUUAGUGCAGGAGUUUAGUUUUAUUUUCUAAAAGGAGAAUAUACUGCCCAUGAUUACCUCUUGAAGCCAGAACUUCCCAAAAAUUAGAUAGGAGAGCUAUCCUGGCAUGGUAUCUCAAGCAACAACAGACUUACCUAGUUGUUGAAUUCAUCUUCUGUCAAGGUCUAUGAAAAUCACAAGGCUUCCAAAGACUCAAUCUAAUCAUUGAAUUCAUCUUCUGUCUAUAUUUAUGAAAAUUAAGAGCCUUCUACCACCCAUAAAAUGCAUGAAUCUAACUUUAGUCUUCUUUAUUAUGACAACUGUGUAAAUGGAGAGAUAAAGUGAGAAAGAAGAAAAAAAAAAUUAAAGAAAAAAAGGGCAAGAAGUAUGCAGAGAUUUAACAUGCCCAUCGGAAAGCUAAAAAAAAGCCCAAACAAAAAAUACUGGCUUUUUCCGAUUUUUAUGGUAAAAAAAUCAGAUCGAAUCAAAAUCGGUUGAUUUAAAUUAAUUUCAGUUUGAAUUUUUUAAAUUUUAUUUUGGUUAUUUUGUAAAUAAAAAUCGAACAGAGUUGAAAAUAAUUAUCCCUAAGUUAUAAUAAGAGUCAUUUUCUUACUAAAUAAGAUGCUUCUAGACAAAGCAAACCAUCAAUAUAAUUUCCAAUAAUAUAAACUGUGUGGCUCUAGUUCAUCCCAUUGUAAUAUAGGUUUUUUUAAUAAAAUUUUAUUUUAAUUUUCAAACUUUUUCUAUGUACUAUAAGUUUUUUAAGCAUUUAAUUAGGUGUUUUUCUUGAAAGAAAGAUUGAAUAGAAAAAUAAAGAAAGAUUGAAUAGAAAAAUAAAGGAUUGAGAAAUUUGGGUAACAUAGAUGAUUCUUUGAAAUGUAUUUGAAAAUUAUAUUUUAGCCUCUCAUUUUUUUUAAUUUAGUAGUUGACAUGUCCUUUUAAUUUUAGAAAAAUUAAUUUUAUUUUGAUAUCAAAUUUUAUUUUCAUCAUUUUCUGUUUCUUAAUUUAUUUAAUUACAUACUUGCAUGAAUAUUUUUAUUUUUAUUUUGUUUUUUAUUUUUUUAAAGAUAACCUGCAUAGCCAUGGUUUUCUUUAAAGAUAAAUUUACGCGUGCUAGUAAAAUAGCUAGUAAUAUAAUAAAGAAGAACGCACCACCAGACCAGACCCCACAAACAUGCAAAUUUAAAACAUGUUUAUUGUAAGUGAUACAACUAUUGAUAUUGUAGGCGAUACAAUCAUUUGUGAAAAUAUAAUAUUUUUCAAUUACCAAUAGUUCAUCGAAUAAUACAACAAAAAAACAAAUUUAAUUUUUUAAUAUUUUAGGGUUAAUCAGUUAUCAAAGAAUUGACAAGACGUGGGCCUGGCCACCUUGGAGAGUUUAAUAAGAUGCCGACGAAACAGGAACUAAGCAUUUUUAUAGCUUUAACAAUUCCGUCAAUUUGAAUAGUGGUUGUUUGGUAAUUUAAAUAUGGAAUUGUUGGCAAGUAGAUGAGGCAGAGCUUCCAAGAAAGUUGCUGGGCAUUCUAGUUCCUGUGUAGAGGCAGAGAUGACUAAGUUGCUAUAUUUCCAGCAAACAUGGCAAGAAAUCCGUCCAAAAAUAGGGUUAAACUACUUUAUUUUCUUUCUUAUUU